UCGAGUUGGUCGUCCUCGAGACGGAAGCAUCGGAAGAACGCCGCUGCUCGAAGGUGACAACAUAAAAGCCCUUAUCCCUUCUUUUUCUUUCUUUCCCUCUCAAUGGAAGGAACUACGGACUACGAUUCCCACUUUGCGCGCUCGCUUAUGGGGAUCGUGAUCAUGUGCUAAAUUAGGGUUUUGGAUAUCCUGGCGAUGUCAAUAUAUACCAAAUCAAGCCGAGCGCCGUGUGUUUGACGAAUUGCCUAAACCAAUAAUCCUCCUUUUGGAUUUGUUUUCUGUGGCACUCUCUGGUUCUCCUUUUGGAUCUGUUUUCUGCGGCACUCACAAGUUCUCAGGAGCGAAGGAAACGGCGUGGAAACAGGUAGAUUGCGGAUGGAGUGCGUUGUGCAAGGAAUAAUCGAGACGCAGCAUGUCGAGGCCCUCGAGAUUCUUCUUCAGGGCCUUUGUGGAGUUCCAAAGGAACGCAUUAGAGUUCAUGAGCUGUGUCUAAAAAGUGGACCGAGCCUUGCCGUGCCCUCUGAGAUCCGCCUCUUGUGUGAUUUAGCUCAGCCCACUCCGUCUUGGACCGUGCGCCAUGUUGGGGGCGCCAUGAGAGGUGCUGGCGCCGAGCAAAUCUCAGUUUUAGUUCGAACCAUGGUGGAAAGCAAAGUGAGCAACAACGCGCUGCGCUUCUUCUAUUCGCUUGGCUACAAGCUGGACCACGAGCUCCUCAAGAUAGGCUUCGCCUUCCGUUUCCAGCGAGGUGCGCCGAUCACCGUCACCGUGACCUCUGCCAACAAAAUGCCGAAGCUUCACGCGACAGACGAGGCUGUGCCCGUCACUCCUGGAAUCCAAAUGGUUGAAAUUACAGCGCCUACCGCUGGGGACAAUUACAAUGAAGUGGGUGCUGCUGUUUCUUCCUUCUGCGAAUAUUUGGCUCCGCUUUUGCAUCUCUCAAAACCCGGCGUUUCGACCGGUAUCGUUCCUACCGCUGCAGCCGCUGCAGCUUCGCUGCUGUCCAACACCGGUGCUCCUCUAUUUGUUUGCAAUGUCAUGUUUCCAGAUGACCCUUCUUUGUGAAGCUGAUGCAGCUCUGUAUCCCCUCGAUGAACAUGAUACAGAGCUCGAUGAUUUCCUGAUGCUUCGCUUGUUAAGGAUUAUGUGGAGCGUUCUGGCAUAUUAAGCACAUAAAUGAAGUCUCUGAAUCAGAGAACUGGUAGGACCAUGUUUUCUGUUUUUACUUCAUACAAGUAGCUGAAACUACAGAUUUAUGGCCGGGAAAGCAAACAAGUUCUCAGAGAAAGAACUUUACUUCCCAUUCAUUGUAGGUGCUCACCACAUGAUCGCACGUGUUGGUGAUGGUGAAAUCUGGAGUCAAGUUGAUCAUGAGAGAAAAAUGACUUUAUCGUUACCAAAUUAUAAUAAGCUUUGCUUAAGUGAUUCCUUGCUGGGAUACCAAUCUGAUGAGAGUUACAAGGUGCUGUAGAAGAGAAGAGGCAAAUGAGUUUCGAGUUUGCAUGACACUGUACUCGAGAAAAGAAAUAAAACUCCAAGCAUCGUCAAAGGAGAGAGAGAGAGAGAGAGAGAGAAUGUGCUCUGCAGGCUUACCGCAGUUCGUUUUACGAUUUCGCGUCACAAUCUUGAAUCAUAAAAUUGACAAAAUGGGAUUUUGACAACACAAAAGGCAAUAUGACAUGCACAUAACUUGGUCCAUAGAGGAACCGAAGCAAAUAUGCCAUCAGCUGCGCCUCUCAUGUCAAUAGUAAUGUCCUUUUUGAUGAGGUUUA